AGAACUUAGCAGAGAUGCUUUGGUGCCUUUCGGGAACUACUGAGACAGGUGCUGCAUGGCUGUCGUCAGCUCGUGUUGUGAAAUGUUGGGUUAAGUCCCGCAACGAGCGCAACCCUUAUCCUUUGUUGCCAGCGGUCCGGCCGGGAACUCAAAGGAGACUGCCAGUGAUAAACUGGAGGAAGGUGGGGAUGACGUCAAGUCAUCAUGGCCCUUACGAGUAGGGCUACACACGUGCUACAAUGGCGCAUACAAAGAGAAGCGACCUCGCGAGAGCAAGCGGACCUCAUAAAGUGCGUCGUAGUCCGGAUUGGAGUCUGCAACUCGACUCCAUGAAGUCGGAAUCGCUAGUAAUCCGUAGAUCAGAAUGCUACGGUGAAUACGUUCCCGGGCCUUGUACACACCGCCCGUCACACCAUGGGAGUGGGUUGCAAAAGAAGUAGGUAGCUUAACCUUCGGGAGGGCGCUUACCACUUUGUGAUUCAUGACUGGGGUGAAGUCGUAACAAGGUAAGCGUAGCGAG
rnacentral:rRNA from 1 species